CAAAUUGUAAUUGGAAGUCAUAGUUCUGGGCCAUUAAAAGAGGUGAGUUUAGCGGAAAAAACUAUACAAUGUCAACAUAUAAGGUGAAGUAAGUUAUCUAACAGAAGUGACCAAAAUUGAGCUAACAAACAAGAGAAACACAAACACUGACACAUGAUGUAAUUAUGUAAUUACAAAAACAAAACAUGAAAGUAACUAAAUAUGUUAAUAACUUUCUAUGUUGUGUAGCUACUGGGUACAUAACACUAUUAAUAACUUGUGUUCAUGUAUAAUGGCUUUGACUGGAGUACUGUCCAGGAUUACUGUCUAGUGAUGGGUAUUAAGAACCAUAAAUUCAAACUAGUCUGACACAUGGUCCCUCUUAAUAUUUAUGUAACGAUUACUGAUUCUAAGAUGGAAAUUUUUUAUUCAAAUUUCUAAGCACCCGUUAAUAAUUGUAUUGCUGUCUGUUUACAUCAUGUGCCUUCUGGUCAUAGGCUGGAAUUUUCAAAAUCCUCUUUAUUUUUCUUUCUUUUCUUUUUUUUUUUUUUUUAACUCUAUAUAUGAAUUAUUCUAAAUUCUUUUUUGGUGGCUACUUCUAAGUUCACCGCCUCUUUCACUUCUUGUGCUUUUGGUGUGCCACAAGGUUCUAUUUUGGAGCCUUUAUAGUUUCUGAUAUAUAUGGUCCUUAUGGUCCACAUUUGUUAUCACUGAUACACAGAUGACAUUUAAUUACAUAUCUCUUUUAAACCUCAAGAUGUUUCUAAGUUCUAGAUCUUGCAUAGGUGCCAAGACUCUAUUAAAAAUUGGAUGGCUCCCAAUUUGCUCUGACUCGAUAAAGAGAAAACAGAAGUACUUGUUUGUGGCCCUUGUGAGAUUUGUGCCUAAAGUAAUGGAAACAUGAGGUCCCUUUUGCAAAAGUGGCGAAGAGACCUAGAGUUACACUAAGAAACUUUUGACUGAGUUUCAGCUUGGAUGUUUGUGUUAAAGAAAGAAAGAACCUCAACAAAAAACAAAACAAAAAAAACCUAACAAAAAACAAAAACAAUUUUUAAUUUCCUUGUAGUUUAAUUUGGGAUAUAACAGUUGUAUUCAUUCAUAGCCAUUUGAAAUGUUCCAAAGAAUGGCACAACAGCAUAUAAAAAUGUAAAGAUAGGCUCUGGUGGGCUUGUUCUAUGUUAGGCUAAAAAGAGUUAAUGAAAAAGCAGCUAAAUGCUAUAUACUGAAUAUAAAAAGGUAGUUGCACAUAAAUAAGGCAACACCAGCAAAAUCAGAAAACUGAUAAAAGGACCAUUUGUUAUAUUAAUAGGUAUGGUUCAGCAUAUUUGGCUGCUUAACUAAAACACCAGCUUCUUUUGAACAGCCUCUCAUUUCUAACACUGCUGGGAUUAACUAAAAUUAAGGUCUAUUGUUUGCUGUCAUUAUCAAAAUGACUCAGAACAAGGUUGGCAUUGAGUUUCAGCACUCUUUAAAAUCUUCCUAAUUAGGGCUUGAUCCCCAC
ensembl:lncRNA